rnacentral:misc_RNA from 1 species
GGUCGAAGGUACUGUCCAUCCUGCAUAUGAUCAGGUAAAAUCAAUAAGAAUGCCAAACACUUUCUAUAAAUAUCAGCCAAUAUUAACAGUACCUUUAGAACCAAAAAUAUCAAACCAAUGCAACAAUAAUACAGCAUCAAAAUCUUCUACCUUCUUCAGGCCAGAACAUCUAAAAUUCAGCUUUAGUAAGCCUUCUAAAAAUUUUUGGUGAACCAUUAUUCGUUGGGAAAUACCAGAUAAUUAGUUCUAAAUCAUGGACCAAGCAACAAUGUAACACCCUCAUGCUAAGUAGUUCCGUACAUUCUACUGUUCCGGU